rnacentral:rRNA from 1 species
AGAGUUUGAUCCUGGCUCAGAACGAACGCUGGCGGCAGGCCUAACACAUGCAAGUCGAGCGCUACCUUCGGGUGGAGCGGCGGACGGGUUAGUAACGCGUGGGAAUAUACCCUUCACUAUGGAAUAGCCUCGGGAAACUGAGAGUAAUACCAUAUACGCCCUUCGGGGGAAAGAUUUAUCGGUGAAGGAUUAGCCCGCGUAAGAUUAGAUAGUUGGUGGGGUAAUGGCCUACCAAGUCUACGAUCUUUAGCUGGUUUUAGAGGAUGAUCAGCAACACUGGGACUGAGACACGGCCCAGACUCCUACGGGAGGCAGCAGUGGGGAAUCUUAGACAAUGGGCGAAAGCCUGAUCUAGCCAUGCCGCGUGAGUGAUGAAGGUCUUAGGAUCGUAAAGCUCUUUCGCUAGGGAUGAUAAUGACAGUACCUAGUAAAGAAGCCCCGGCUAACUCCGUGCCAGCAGCCGCGGUAAUACGGAGGGGGCUAGCGUUGUUCGGAAUUACUGGGCGUAAAGCGUACGUAGGCGGAUCAGAAAGUAUGGGGUGAAAUCCCAGGGCUUAACCCUGGAACUGCCUCAUAAACUCCUGGUCUUGAGUUCGAGAGAGGUGAGUGGAAUUCCAAGUGUAGAGGUGAAAUUCGUAGAUAUUUGGAGGAACACCAGUGGCGAAGGCGGCUCACUGGCUCGAUACUGACGCUGAGGUACGAAAGUGUGGGGAGCAAACAGGAUUAGAUACCCUGGUAGUCCACACCGUAAACGAUGAAUGCCAGUCGUC